GACGAACGCUGGCGGCGUGCUUAACACAUGCAAGUCGAACGGAAAGGCCCUGCUUUUGUGGGGUGCUCGAGUGGCGAACGGGUGAGUAACACGUGAGUAACCUGCCCUUGACUUUGGGAUAACUUCAGGAAACUGGGGCUAAUACCGGAUAGGAGCUCCUGCUGCAUGGUGGGGGUUGGAAAGUUUCGGCGGUUGGGGAUGGACUCGCGGCUUAUCAGCUUGUUGGUGGGGUAGUGGCUUACCAAGGCUUUGACGGGUAGCCGGCCUGAGAGGGUGAACGGCCACAUUGGGACUGCGAGACGGACCAGACUCCUACGGGAGGCAGCAGUGGGGAAUAUUGCACAAUGGGCGGAAGCCUGAUGCAGCAACGCCGCGUGCGGGAUGACGGCCUUCGGGUUGUAAACCGCUUUCGCCUGUGACGAAGCGUGAGUGACGGUAAUGGGUAAAGAAGCACCGGCUAACUACGUG
rnacentral:rRNA from 1 species